rnacentral:rRNA from 1 species
UACGUAGGUGGCAAGCGUUGUCCGGAAUUAUUGGGCGUAAAGCGCGCGCAGGCGGUCCCUUAAGUCUGAUGUGAAAGCCCACGGCUCAACCGUGGAGGGUCAUUGGAAACUGGGGGACUUGAGUACAGAAGAGGAAAGUGGAAUUCCAUGUGUAGCGGUGAAAUGCGUAGAGAUGUGGAGGAACACCAGUGGCGAAGGCAACUUUCUGGUCUGUAACUGACGCUGAGGCGCGAAAGCGUGGGGAGCAAACAGG